rnacentral:rRNA from 1 species
CUUGACAUCCAGAGAAUUUAGCAGAGAUGCUUUAGUGCCUUCGGGAACUCUGAGACAGGUGCUGCAUGGCUGUCGUCAGCUCGUGUUGUGAAAUGUUGGGUUAAGUCCGCAACGAGCGCAACCCUUAUCCUUUGUUGCCAGCACGUAAUGGUGGGAACUCAAAGGAGACUGCCGGUGAUAAACCGGAGGAAGGUGGGGAUGACGUCAAGUCAUCAUGGCCCUUACGAGUAGGGCUACACACGUGCUACAAUGGCGCAUACAAAGAGAAGCGACCUCGCGAGAGCAAGCGGACCCCCAUAAAGUGCGUCGUAGUCCGGAUUGGAGUCUGCAACUCGACUCCAUGAAGUCGGAAUCGCUAGUAAUCGUAAAUCAGAAUGUUACGGUGAAUACGUUCCCGGGCCUUGUACACACCGCCCGUCACACCAUGGGAGUGGGUUGCAAAAGAAGUAGAUAGCUUAACCUUCGGGAGGGCGUUUACCACUUUGUGAUUCAUGACUGGGGUGAAGUCGUAACAAGGUAAGCGUAGUGCU